CAAGAACUGGGCUGGGCUUCAGGAGACUUGGGUUUGAUUCCCUGCUCUGUCACUGACCUGCUGGGCAAGUCACUUUAUCUCCCUGUCUGUUCCCCCAUCUGUAAAACGGGGAUAAGAACACCAAGAUCUCUGGAUGAAGCGCACUACAGGAUUAUUACUACUGACUUAAAGGGCUCCACUAAAGUGCUUUUACAGGGCCUUCCAACCAGCAAAAGAGUCCUUCCUUCUCUGCAAUUUCUUUUCCUCUAGACUGAAUUCUCCACUUUACUAUAAUCUGCCAUAUUUAGGGUUACUGAAGACUGAAUUUACCAGGAUUGUUUCACCUUAGAAGAGGAAUGCCAGUAUCUUGGCACAUCGAGCCAGGUGGCACUUAAUCUGCAAAAAGGCUAUGUACCUUUGGGAUUUGCCAUGAUGAUGAUGGUCUUGUUGAUGAUGGAGGGUUCCCAGCCCAUUGGAUUGAAUCUGGUAUUCUGUCCACAUUUAAGUGAAUGCCGUGGUGUCUUGUCAUUCCAAGGAUCACCCACUUGUCUCUUCAAUUAGUGCUAGUGUGCAUGCCUUACAUAAGCCUCCAGGUUGCUCUUUUACAUUGAUUACCAGUCACCACUAACUGCAUGGAAAUCACCCCCACUUCUGGCUACAGCAGAAAGGCCUAAGGACUACAGUUAAUCCUAGGGUGAAAUCAUGGAGCUUUUGAAGUCAAUGGGAGUUUUGCCAUUGAUUUCAGUGAGGCCAGGAUUUCAGGAAUAGAUUCUUCAACUUUGUGAUGUGUCAAGGGAAGUGAGAAGGGAAUGGGUGUGACAUCUGGAAUAGGAAGAGAGAAAAAAGGACAAAGCACAAGAGUACAGGGGAUAUAGGGUCUGAUCCAAAGUCCACUGAAAUCAGUGAGAGUCUUUCCACUGACUUCAUAGGAGUUUAGAUCAGGGCCAUAGACAGAAGGAGAAGAGCAGGAAAUCAGGUAGAGUUUGUACCUGGGCUGUGGGGAAACAGAGAGAGAUAAAUGGCUAAAAUGGAAAGGCCUGUAGGAGACAGGGGAAGCAUUUACAGGAAAGGGUGGGAGAAUCUGCCUAGCAGUGGAAGGGAUGGAGAUAACGGGGAGGGGGGGAGAUUAAAGGGUGGAUCUGGGAUAGAAGAAAAUGAUAAUGGGUGCUUGGAUUUGCAGUUUGGGUACAUUGGUUCAAGAAAGUUCAAACCAGGGGCACCAAAUACGCAAUUAUGGAGUAUUAGAAUUAGGCUUUAACUGGAGACUGUAGUUAUUCCACUUGUGUUACCCGAGUGACGUCAGUAGGAGUUUGGGAUGUUAAAUUGCUACUGGUUCUGGCAUAUAUACAGCUGCGCAGUUGUAAGGUGUGCUGUAUAUAUAUGUAGAAACAGCCUUAAUCUCUUCUGUGAAUGUAUAGUGAUAGAGGCUGUGCAUUCUAGAGAAACAUCUCUGAGGAGCUCAGGGGCUGGAGUUCACUGAUUGCUACCUGCUAGGCGAGGUUUUGGCAGGAGGAGCUUUGAGGAGUUUGCUGGAGGAGGAAGACAGACUGGUGUGGAAGGAGUGGACACACAGUCUAAUCACCAGCAAAACUCAGUCUGGUAACACAGUGGCUCAGAGCUCUGUCUGUCCCCAGCAGCAUGUUACAGGGGACCUGAUCAGAUUAGCAUGUUGAGAAGUACAAUUGCUUUGUCUUGACUACUGUUUUAGAAGGUGUUAAUUAGACAGGGCUAUCUCUCGCCUUUAAAUCCUACCCUACACCACACCUUCCCUGUUAGCUGAUUGCCCUGAACCAGAAGCAGCGCCUUCUCUCUUGUCCCAGUCCUGGGUUUAUCAACAAGGGAGGAGGGGGUUAAUCCACAGCUUUUUGCUGCUCAUCAGAUAACGCUCAUUAUGCAAGCAGCAAUAAGAGCAUUCACACAGGAUGGUGUGUGGCCGUCAAUGUGCAUCUCUGUGUACACAUGGCUGUAGUUUGCUGUGAAUUGAGGGCAUGACAGUAUCUUGGCAGUAUCCCAUACUCCUUUGCUGGCUGCUGAGCAGUGUGCAUUCUGGGAUUUUCUUGCUGUGCACUGUGGAUAGUAGAAGACAGACUAGUUCAAAUUUUUUAAAAGUCCCAUGAUUCACCUGUCUCCAUGCUGUAUAUGCUGGAUGGGCAGGCUAGCGCCAUUUUCAAAUUGCACCACUAUGCUGACAACCUCUGAUACCCAGAAUACCCAGAGGCUUCUUGGGCUCUGUUUCUGCACUCAAAGCCAGAUGAAUUUGGGUUGUAACUUCACCUGCAGCACCACCAAGCAGAUGAUGUGGCAGCAACAGCAGUUCCUCCAGCAGCAGGAGGGGCUUCGGUGGUGGUGGAACUAGGACAUGGGCAAGGAAGAAGAGGAACAAACUUAGCAGCUGGUAGUGGAGGACCAAGUCCUGAAGCAGCUUCACAGUAUGCAGUGCCGUUUCUGGGCUUGGGAAACCAGGACCGACUGGUGGGAAAGGCUUGUUCUGCAGCUCUGGAAUGACCAGCAGUGGCAAGAGACUUUCAGGAUGGGGAAGAUAACCUUUUUGGAGAUUGUGCUGAACUAACCCCUGAGCCACAGUGGGAAAGUACCAACACGUGGUGCCCCAUAUCCAUGGACAAGCGGGUUGCAGUUGCCAUCUGGAAGCUAGCCACCCCCGAAUGCUGCCAUCUGUAGCAAACCAACUUGGCAUGGGAUGAUUGACUAUUGGGACCAUUGUCAUGCAGGUGUGUGCUGCCGUGGAAAAGGUACUGUGGCACUGGGUAAUGCUCAGGAGAUUACUGAUGGCUUUGCACACAUGGUGUUCCCAAACUGUAUUGGGACAAUUGAUGGGACCAUGUGCCUCUUAUUUGCUUCCCACAUCAGGACUCAGAAUUCAUAAACAGAAAGGGGUAUUUCUCUACAGUGCUCCAAGGCUUUAUCAACCACUGUGGCACACUUUUAGACAUAAAUGCUGGAUGGUCUGGAAGGGUCCAGGACGCUGGGAUAUUUUGGAAUUCAGCUCUAUUUAAAUUAGCAGAGAAAGGUCUGUUUGCCCCUGGGAUCACAAGGGACAUUAAUAGUGUGGAGAUUGCUCCAGAGCUGGAGUCUGGGAGAAGAAUGCCUUCUGGGAGCAGGGAUUACCGCAGGGAGGAGUUUCUGUUGUUCCCAGUAGUCCAUAUUGCCCAGGGACUGCAUAACAUGGCUGGGGGCUGGUUAGCAGUACUGCAUUGCCUGCUGCCCUAAUAGCACUAUGUGUUGCAACAAGGCAUUUUGGCUUUGUACUGGUUCCAGGAGUUGCCUCUGCAUUUCCCUCUCUUUUUCCAAACUUUCUUUGGCCAUGGCAAUGCUUUCUCAGGCAAUGGCCAUGCUGCCCUUUGCCAUUGCAAGCAUCUCCAUGGAAAGCUCCUUCUCAAAUUCCCUCUCAGUCCUCAGAUAUUGCCUCCACCUCUCUAUAUUUUGGGGAUUUGGGGGGUGGGGUGGGGUGGGCUGGACUUUAAUGAUUUCCAUGAACAUUUUGUCCAAGUUUUCCAUUUUCUCCCCCUCAGGAUAGCCAGCCACUCCGCCAUUGAAGGACCUUGUCCUUCAGGGUUUGGCCAUGUAGAUGUCGUAGCUGUAGAGGGGUAUUUAAAAAAUUACAAGCAGUUAUUGCUUAUGUUCUAGGAAGGCUGUGAUAGCAUUUUUUACAUGGAUUUCUGCCUUUACCUCCCUGAGAUUCUUCCCAGUCUUGGGGGACCCUCGCAGAUGGUAAGUGGUGUGUGCACUGGGGUUUUUGUCUGUGCAGUCAAUGUUGUGUGGCUUUGCCAUCGUACCUUGGAAGCUAGGGGGGAUGGCGUUGGGAAUUAUGUUCCUGGUCUGUCUUUGCAGUUUUACUGUCCUUGGAGGUGUUCAUAUGGUGGCAGAUGGGUUUGCAGGGUGAAUCUGGGGAUAAGGUGGAUAGUAAUCCCCUCUGCAUCCCUGUUAGGCUGUUCUGUUAUACUGAGACUGGUGACUAGGAAGCAAAGAAUUGCCUUAUUCAACAAGGCAAAGCAUGGACCAGCAAGAUACGCUGUCAAGUUAUCCCUCAAAAUGGUCCUUCCAGAAGUUCUGCAGGAGUGGAAGGGAAUUAUUAGCUAUACCGGUAGGGAAAGCUAUGCAGCUAGUCCUCAUAACCUCCAAACAAAAACUGAGCCAUUUCUCAACCUUAUAUUUUGCUCAGACAUGUUGAAAGUGCAGAGAGGAAUAGAUAAGGGUCUGCAAUGAUGGCCUGGAGCAUUCCCUGUUACCAUUCUGUUAGCGUGCAUGCUACAGGGCAUUUACAGGGAAGCUAUAUUCUUUUACGGUCAUGCAAUUUCCAUGUCUCCCUCAUGUGCAGUAAGAACACCAACCACACUUCUUUUCCUGUAACCGCUGUCUCAUUAAACUUUUGCACAAAAGAA